GCCGCUGGCUCCGCCCACCGCGUGGUCCAAGGACCACCACCCGCCACCGCCGCGCGAGCGUACUAUUGCGGCCGCCCUCUGCUGCGCCUGAAGAGAGAGGCGACUCUACAAGCCUCACAGCAUGCACUGUUACUAAAAAGACGAUGCGUCCUCCUGGACCUGAGAUCUGUGUGAUCGUGGGAAAGCGACGAAAAACGAACAAAGGAACAGUAAAUGGAGUAACUUGGCUAGAAUAUGGCAGUAACUACAAGGCAUGUUCUGCUCUGGCACGAAGAUGCAGUCUCGCUCUGUCACCCAGGCUGGAGUGCAAUGGCACGAUCUUGGCUCACUGCAACCUCUGCCUCCCAGGUUCAAGCGAUUCUUCUGCCUCAGCCUCCUGAGUAGCUGGGAUUACAGACAACCCACCUGAGGCACCAGACACAUGAGUGAAGCCAUCUUGGACAUCCCAGUCACAGCCAAACUCACUCCUGAGUGCAUCUGCAUGAUGAACCCAGCAAUCCCCACCAUGGAGCAAAGGAUCCAUCCAGUCAACCCAAAGAAUCGUGAAAAAUAAUAAAUUGUUGUUUUAAAGUUCUUCAGUUUGGGAAUAGCUUGUUAUGCAACAAUACAUAAUUAAUACACUGGUCUCCCACUUUCAAGUUUGAUUAACUUUCAGCUAUUUUUCACAUAGCAGGCAGAGUGAUUCCAUUAAAACAUAUAUCAGAUAAUGUCACUGCACUAAGUAAACUCUACAAGGACUCUCAUCUCCCUCAGAGUAAAGGUCACAGUUGUUACAAGGCCCUACGUAAUGUGGCCCUCACCACCACUCCAUUACCUUUUUCUUAUCUACUAUUUGCUAACUUUGCUUUGUCCUCUUUUCUGUUCUGAAACAGGCUAGGCAUGGUCCUGCCUCAAGGCCUUUGCACCACCUACUCUGUCUGCUUGGAUUGUUCUUCCCACAGAUUUCUUGCUCCCUUCUUCCUUCAUGAAGAAAUGUCAUGAAAUGUCCUUCCUUCAUGAAAUGUCACCUUCUCAUUUGAGGCCUUCUGUAGUACCCCAAAGAAUGGUCCCCAAAGAUGUCCACAUCCUUAUGCCCAGAACCUGUGAAUGUGUUAUCUUAAUGGCAAAAGUGACUUUGCAAAUGUGAUUAUAUUUAAGGAUCUUAAGGAGGAGAUUAUCCUGGAUUAUCCAGGAGGGCCCAAUGUAAUCACAAGGGCCCUUAUAAGUGAAAGGGGGAGGCAACAGAGAGAAGGAGAUGUCAUAAUGAAAACAGAUCCAAGUGAUGAGAUUGCUGGCUGGGGUGGAGGUGGAGGGGGGUACAAUCCAAGGAAUGCAAGAAGCCUCUAAAAGCUAGGAAAUGUCAGGACACAAAUUCUCCCCUAGAACCUGAGGAAGAAACCCAGGUUUAUGGACACUGAUUUUAACCCAAUAAGUCCCUUUUCUGACUGCUGACCUCCAAAACUGUAAGAUAAUAAAUUUGUGUUAUUUUAAGCCAACUGAGUUUGAGAUAAUUUAGUUAUGGCAGCAAUAGGAAACUAGCACACCUUCCUAGCCAUCCUAUCUAAAAUGGCAACCCAUGUCCUUCCUGGCACUUCCUAUCUCCCUUCCAUGUUUUUUUUAAAUCAUAUAUACAAUAUAUUUUACUGUUUUACCUAUUGUCUUUUCCACCAGAAAGUAAACUCCACGUAAAUAAGGAUUGUCUGUUUUAUUCUUUGCAGUAUCUCCACUGCCUAGGAUAGCAUCUGCACAUACUGCACACUCAGUACACAUUUGUCGAAUGAGGUCAGGCGCGGUGGUUCACACCUGUAAUCCCAGCACUUUGGGAGGCCAAGGCGGGUGGAUCACCUUAGGUUAGGAGUUCGAGACCAGCCUGGCCAACAUGGUGAAACCAUGUCUCUACUAAAAAUACAAAAAGUAGUUGGGCAUGGUGGCAUGUGCCUGUAAUCCCAGCUACUUGGGAGGCUGUGGCAGGAGAGUCACUUGAAUCUGGGAGGUGGAGGUUGCAGUGAGCCAAGAUUGUGCCACUCCACUCCAGCCUGGGCAACAGAGUAAGACUCUGGCUCAAAAAAAAAAAAAAAGAAAGAAAGAAAAAAAUACAUAUUUGUUGAAUGAACAAGUGAAUGAACAAAUGUUAUGCAAAUAUAUUAUCCCUAUCUGUAGCUUGCCUUUUAAUUUUGUUAUAGUAACUUUGGUUGAAAGGAAGUUCUAAAAUCUUUAAUAUAAUCAAAUGUAUCAAUCUUUUCAACUUGUAUAUUUUAUGCCUUGUUUAAUCAACUCUGUCUUAUAUCAAAAUUAUAAAAGUAUUACCCUGUAUUUUCUUAUAAAAGUUUUGAAUCUUUUCUUUUUCCACUUAGAUCAUUAAUCAACUUGGAAUUGGUGUUACAUAGUGGUAAAUGAUUGUCCCAGGACCACAUAUUGAAUAUUUUAUCAUUUCUCCACUGAUUUGUAACAACACAGUGGUUAUAUAUCCUGUUUAUACAUGGGUCUGUCUCUAGGUUUCCGGUUCUGUUCCAGUGGUCUGUUUGCUUACCCUUCUACUAAUAGCACAUUGGCCUAAUUACUAUAACUUUAUAAUGUGGCUCAAUCUCUGGAAAACCACAUACCUCUCCCCUCCUCUUUCUACAAUAUUCUUAUAUUUUGCAACUGGCCUUUACUGUUUUGUAUUAUUUUUAACAAUACCUUAUAUACCCACAUAUAUUAGAUGCUCUUAGCAUCACUAUUUAUAGCAUCUAAAAAUUGGAAAUUAUUUAAAUGUCCACCAAUACAUUAGUUAAAUAAAUUAGGUUAUACUCACAUAGUGGAAUACGAUACUGGCUUUCAAAAGAAUGAGGUAAAUUUACAUAUCUACAUUAAAAGGUAUUCAAGAUAUCAGAAAAAAGGGCAAGUUGCAAAACAAUAUUUAGAGUAAGAACCUAUUCAUGAAUUUUUUUAAUGUAAUUUGUGUUACAUGUAGAAAAAAAUAUGGGCAAGAAUACAUCAAAAUGUUAACAGUGGUUAUAUCUGAGGAUCAGGAAUAGGAAGAACAUUCGCUUUCUAAGGUAGAAAAAAAAUAAAAGGAAUCCAGACAGAACAAAGAAUGAAACUAUGGACACAGGCAUGAGAGAAAUGCACUUAUUUGUGGCAGUACUAUUGCAGAGAUAAUGGGAGAGGUGGUAAGAGCUGAGACUGGAAAAGCAGAGUGGAGCCAGUGUGCAGAGGAUCCAAUAUGGCACCCUAAGGAGUCUGACUUCAUCCUGCAGUGGUGAAUGGGAAAUCAUCUAAGUUUAUUAUUAUUCGUAAGCACAGGGGCAGUGUACAAUUUCUGCGUUGAGAAAGGAGAAUUCUGAAAUGGUAGUUUUGAAUGGUGGAUUUAAAGUGGGAGAUUGAUUUGAGCCUUUAACAUUGCAGUUUAAAAACAAACAGAAUUUUAAAAAGCAAGUGGGAGAUAGAUAUUGAAAGCAGGAAGACCAUUCAGGAGAUAGCCACAAUAGUCUAGAGAGAGAUGGGGAAGGUCAGUUGUAUGUCAGACCAAGCAGCAUGUUUGAAACACUGAAGAAAAAAGCUCCAGUGAUCCACGUAUGAGUGGCCUGACCUACGGAGUAUCGAGGAGAAGGAGAGGAAGGCAAUAGAAAGAACUAGACAUGGGUUGAACUCUUGGUAGCCUGACUAGUGCCUGACUGUUCUUCAAGACUCUCUCCUGAAUAGAUUUGACCUUUUGGACCUUCUAGGGCCCUUUUCAUCACUUGUUACCAGCCAUUGCUACCUCCUGGAGCCCCCUUUAAUCUGGAGCCCCCUUUGAUCACUUGUUACCAGCCAUUGCUACCACCCUGCACCAUUGCAAAGUGGAAUGUACGUGACUCUUCUCAAAGCCCCUAGAACUAUAUACACACAUCAUUGUAGCACUU
rnacentral:lncRNA from 10 species